AGGCCUCAACCAUGUUCUGGAACCACCCCUCUUAUGUACAGGACCACCCCCUCGUACUUAACCGAUGUGGGAUUUGCCUAAGGUGUGCUGGCCUUGCCACAUACGCCCCCCCUUGGGGACUCAGCGUCCUCGCUGAGGUUUGCCCCACCACCGGCCAGAGGAACGAGGGUCGGCUCUGAUACCAAUUGUCAUAGCCCAGCCCAUGGUCAAUAUUGUCCGCUUUGGGGCUCCAGCCCGUACGAGUACCCCCUCACGGUUUUGUUUUCAGGCAGGCUUUGCAACCCGCCCAAAAGGCCUCAACCAUGUUCUGGAACCACCCCUCUUAUGUACAGGACCACCCCCUCGUACUUAACCGAUGUGGGAUUUGCCUAAGGUGUGCUGGCCUUGCCACAUACACCCCCCCUUGGGGACUCAGCGUCCUCGCUGAGGUUUGCCCCACCACCGGCCAGAGGAACGAGGGUCGGCUCUGAUACCAAUUGUCAUAGCCCAGCCCAUGGUCAAUAUUGUCCGCUUUGGGGCUCCAGCCCGUACGAGUACCCCCUCACGGUUUUGUUUUCAGGCAGGCUUUGCAACCC
rnacentral:lncRNA from 1 species